rnacentral:rRNA from 1 species
UACAGAGGCCUCAAGCGUUGUUCGGAUUCAUUGGGCGUAAAGGGUGCGUAGGUGGCGCCGUAAGUCGGGUGUGAAAUUUCGGAGCUUAACUCCGAAACUGCAUUCGAUACUGCGGUGCUUGAGGACUGGAGAGGAGACUGGAAUUCAUGGUGUAGCAGUGAAAUGCGUAGAGAUCAUGAGGAAGACCAGUGGCGAAGGCGGGUCUCUGGACAGUUCCUGACACUGAGGCACGAAGGCCAGGGGAGCAAACGGG